rnacentral:rRNA from 1 species
ACUUGAAUUGAAGAGUUUGAUCAUGGCUCAGAUUGAACGCUGGCGGCAGGCUUAACACAUGCAAGUCGAACGGUAGCAGGAGAAAGCUUGCUUUCUUGCUGACGAGUGGCGGACGGGUGAGUAAUGCUUGGGAAUCUGGCUUAUGGAGGGGGAUAACGACGGGAAACUGUCGCUAAUACCGCGUAAUAUCGAAAGAUUAAAGUGUGGGACCUUCGGGCCACAUGCCAUAGGAUGAGCCCAAGUGGGAUUAGGUAGUUGGUGGGGUAAAGGCCUACCAAGCCUGCGAUCUCUAGCUGGUCUGAGAGGAUGACCAGCCACACUGGAACUGAGACACGGUCCAGACUCCUACGGGAGGCAGCAGUGGGGAAUAUUGCGCAAUGGGGGGAACCCUGACGCAGCCAUGCCGCGUGAAUGAAAAAGGCCUUAGGGGUUGUAAAAGUCUUUCGGUAUUGAGGAAAGGUUGAUGUGUUAAUAGCACAUCAAAUUGACGUUAAAUACAGAAAAAGCCCCGGCUAACUCCGUGCCCGCACCCCCCGGUAAUACGGAGGGGGCGAGCGUUAACCCGAAAAACUGGGCCGAAAGGGCCCCCAGGGGGUUAUUAUAAUGAGGGGUGAAAACCCCCGGGGUUAACCCGGGGAAUUUGUUUUUCAAAAGGGAAAACUAAAAAAAUUUUAGGGGGGGGGGAAAAAAUUCCCCCGUGUUCCGGGUAAAAAUGCGCUAAAAAAAUUGGGGAGAAAAAAACCCCAAAGGGGAAAAAGAGCGCCCCCCCCCCCUUGGGGAAAAGUAUAA